GAAAUGCGAUAAGUAAUGUGAAUUGCAGAAUUCAGUGAAUCAUCGAAUCUUUGAACGCACCUUGUGCUCCUUGGUAUUCCUUGGAGCAUGCCUGUUUGAGUAUCAUGAAAUCUUCAAAGUAAAUCUUUUGUUAACUCAAUUGGUUUCUACUUUGGUAUUGGAGGUCUUUGCAGCUUCACACCUGCUCCUCUUUGUUCAUUAGCUGGAUCUCAGAGUUAUGCUUGGUUCCACUCGGCGUGAUAAGUUAUCUAUCGCUGAGGACACUGUAAAAGGUGGCCAAGGUAAAUGCAGAUGAACCGCUUCUAAUAGUCCAUUGACUUGGACAAUACUUUUAUGAUCUGAUCUCAAAUCAGGUAGGACUACCCGCUGAACUUAAGC
rnacentral:misc_RNA from 1 species